rnacentral:misc_RNA from 1 species
CACUCGGGUGACAAGAGUCCACAUAAUGCACGCAAAAUGCCGGCUGCUGCUGCUGCGGAGGCGGCAACAGCAUCGACCGCGGUAGCCGCGGCGGCGGCAGCGACGUCGACAUCCCCCACGGCGUACAUGACCCCCGAGGACGCCUCCAUCUACACACUAGUCACCAGCAUCUUGGCAGAGUGGCGCAGUGGCGUCACUCUACUGAAGGAGGAUAUCAUUCGCUUAAUCCUGCGUCGUGUGCGCCCCAUCCUCAUGAGCCAGCCGAUGCUCGUCCGCACCGAGGCGCCGAUCAACGUGUGCGGUGACAUACACGGCCAAAUCACAGACCUCGUCGAAAUCUUCAAGGCGGGCGGACUGCCUCCCCACUCGCGCUACCUCUUCCUCGGUGACUACGUGGACCGCGGCAAGUAUGGGACGGAGGUGAUCACGGUGCUGCUGGGGCUGAAGGUGUUGUACCCGAAGCGCAUAUAUGUUCUGCGCGGAAACCACGAGACGGACAGCAUUUGCCGCAUCUACGGCUUCUUUGACGAGGUGAAGCGCCGUUUCAACGUGCGCCUGUUCAAGGAGUUCACGGAUGUGUUCAACUGCCUUCCCGUGGCGGCGUUGAUAGAGGAGAUCGCGCUGUGCAUGCACGGCGGUCUCAGCCCCGAACUGCGCCACCUGCGUCAAAUUGAACAGAUCUACCGGCCGUUGCUGGUGCCUGAUGAGGGACUUGCCUGCGACCUUCUCUGGUCCGAUCCGGAGGAGGGGUCGUCUGGGUGGCAACCAAGCGAGCGCGGUGUCAGCUUUACGUUUGGCGAGGAUGUAGUGAAGCGCAUGUGCGACAGCCUCGGCAUCGACAUCGUUCUCCGAGCCCAUCAGGUGGUGGAUGAGGGCUACUCUUUCUUUGCCGGCAGGCGCCUCGUCACCAUCUUUAGCGCGUCCAACUACUGCGGCGAGUUCACCAACAGCGGCGCCAUGAUGCUGAUGGACGAAAACUGCAUGUGCAGCUUCCAAAUCUUUAAGCCUGAGUACUAAGAGCAGGAAGGUGUGUACGGGCGCGCGCACUUUCAACAAUGCAGGUCACUGCAGCAGCAGCAUCAGCAGCACCAGCAGCAGUGGCAGCUGCGGCGGAAACAGACCGCGGUGGAUGGGUGCUGGUUUGCUUCUCGGGGUCUGCGAGUGCAUGUCUGUGGGUGUUUUGUUCUCCAGUGACGACUUACUCCUCUUAAAACGCCACGCAGCCGCGCGUACGAGUUCAAAUAUUCACAGGCGCACACUGACAUAUACACACGUACACAUGCGCAAUGCACAUGCACACACCGACGUGCGUCUUGUUGCGCCUGUUCUGUUAAGCUGUCCUCUAUUUCUACUUUUUUUUCCCUCUUGACGUUGUGUCUAAUUCAGAAGCGACUGCGCCCCGUUGUGUGCCCUCCUCCCUCCCCCCACACACAUUACUGGUGUCUCUCUCGCUGCGGCUUGAAAGUGCCUUCAGCGCCCUCUUCUCCUCUCUUCCUCUCUUCCUCUCUUCUUUGCCCACGUUGUCUGUGCACUUGAGCCGGUGAGUCGAUGCGCCUUGUUCGCGCAAGAUGAUGGUACCUUGCAGAGAUUCCAUCUCUUCCCUUCUUGCUCGUUGUUUGCCUCGCUGUUAUGGUGUACCUGUGCCGUUGAUUUUGGUGCGCAGGGCAGCUGAUGAGAUACGGCGCAUCUGACGCCCCUCACCUUCCUCUUCUUUGUUUAGUGUAAGAUAUGUUGGCCGUUGCAGCCUGUGCGACGGUCGUGGGGGCGGUUCACAGGAACUAGCGGGGGCGGAGGGUAACAUAGAAAACGAACCGAAGUACAAGAAUUGCGACUGUGCUGUGCGGCGUGCAGCCGCUGUCUGCGCGCGUACGCCUGUUAACGUGUGUGUGUGUAGGUGCUCGGUACGUUUGGCAUCGAUUCGCUUGUAAGAACAAGAAGAAAGCGCUCAGGAACGGCAUUCCAUCACGUCCAAAAAGGGAACGGCGAAGCAGGGCAUGCGAAAAGCGCGAAGCGUGGGGCCUAAAACUCGGUUUCCCAUCACAACUCUACCCUCUUCUUCACGCUGUGUCGGUGGACGCGGAGCUCAUGUGUCUGGGUGAAAGUGCAUGCGUGGUGGUUGCGCUGGUGGGAAGGAAGGCAAGGACUCCUCACCGACUGUUGCUGGCGAUGUUGUGUUUUCUGGCGUCGUGCACAUUUCUGUUCAUCGGCUUGUCGCCGCUCGAUGUGUCGGCAUGUGCUUGCAGGCUCGUUGCAUGUUUCCAUGCGGACCAUCCGCGCACCCUGCAAACACAGAAGAAAAACCACCGUUGACUGUCGACUUCUCUGCUGAUGCUUCCACCCGCAUGAGAAGGAGGAAACGAAAAAGGAAAGCCGCGAUGCCGCGCGCUCUUUGCUCUACGGUAUCUUCACCUUGAACCGAUUUCCUCUUUCCCGUCUCUACGUUUAUUGAUGCUUGCGCUGGGCACAUUGCACACACGCACACACUCGUCCUGCCUGUCCCCGCAUAUGCGUACCCCCUCUCUCGGUGCCCGUGCGCUCGCGUGCGUGCCGCCUUCCCACCUCCAUCUUUUUUCGUCUCUCCCUUUCACCUCAUCACGCGCACGCUCCUUCCUUUGCAUGCUUCAAUUGGUGUAG